GAUCCUGGCUCAGGAUGAACGCUAGCUACAGGCUUAACACAUGCAAGUCGAGGGGCGAGCAUGGUCUUAGCUUGUCUAAGGCCGAUGGCGACCGGCGCACGGGUGAGUAACGCGUAUCCAACCUGCCUUACACUCUUGGACAGCCUUCUGAAAGGGAGAUUAAUACAAGAUGUUAUCAUGAGUAAGCAUUUUCGCAUUGAUUAAAGGUUUACCGGUGUAAGAUGGGGAUGCGUU
rnacentral:rRNA from 1 species